AGAGUUUGAUCCUGGCUCAGGAUGAACGCUAGCGGCAGGCUUAACACAUGCAAGUCGAGGGGCAGCGGGUGUAGCAAUACAUGCCGGCGACCGGCGAAAGGGUGAGUAACGCGUGAGCAACGUGCCCGUAUGUGGGGGAUAGUCGAUGGAAACGUCGCGUAAUACCCCGUAACACAUUUUCCCGCAUGGGAAUAUGUUGAAAGAUUGAUUGCAUACGGAUCGGCUCGCGUGCCAUUAGGUAGACGGCGGGGUAACGGCCCACCGUGCCGACGAUGGCUAGGGGUUCUGAGAGGAAGGUCCCCCACAUUGGAACUGAGACACGGUCCAGACUCCUACGGGAGGCAGCAGUGAGGAAUAUUGGACAAUGGCCGGAAGGCUGAUCCAGCCAUGCCGCGUGCGGGAAGACGGCCCUAUGGGUUGUAAACCGCUUUUGCGAGGGAGCAAUAAGGGCAACGAGUUGUCCGAUGAGAGUACCUCGCGAACAAGCAUCGGCUAACUCCGUGCCAGCCGCCGC
rnacentral:rRNA from 1 species